GUCUGGGACCAGGCUAACUGGCAACAAACCGGUCUGGGACCAGGCUAACUGGCAACAAACAGGUCUGGGACCAGGCUCAUUUUUUUACUCUCCAGUCUAAGUCUGAGAGCAUCUUCCUUUGUAUUCCCUGCUUUCUUUUCAUUUAUUUCUAAGAAGAUUCUAUUAUCAAGUGAGACAUAAUUUUUUUUUUUAAUUGGUUGUAGUUGUUCUUCAAUGUCCCGCCCACUGCAGUCUCAUUUUGAUUUGAUUGGUUGUAUUACGACGGAGAUGUGGUUGUCCCACCUAGCUUACCGUAACAUGAAUGCACUAACUUGUAAAUCGCUCUGGAUAAGAAUAUCUGUUAUCAUGAUGACGUUGACAAAUUAAAUGUUAUUUCUUUCUCCUCUGCGAUAUUAAACAUGCAACUUGUCUGAGUGAAUGCAGUGUGUAUACAAUACUAAGUUAUACCGGAUCAAGAAAAAAACAUUAUUUUAGAAACUUAAAAAAAAAAAAAAAAAAAAGUUUGUGCGAAAUAUAACGAUACAAUUAUAAUGACACAUUUAUUUGUAUUUAUUACAUUUUUGUUCUCUUUUUAGUAAAUGAAUGUCGUUUUUUUUUAAAUUUAUUUAACUAGGCAAGUCAGGUAAGAACAAAUUCUUAUUUACAAUGACGGCCUACACAGGCCAAAACCGUAACCCGGACGACGCUGGACCAAUUGUGCACCGCCCUAUGGGACUCCCAAUCACGGCCGUUAGUUAAGUAUAAAUGGUGUGUAAACUAGGUGUGGCCAUUUUGAAUGAAUGGUUGAUAUCUCCUGUACAUUUAGUGGAAGCACGUAGGAGUUUUAUGUUUUAGCAUGGUCAUCUACUGUGUCUGAAAGAGAGAAUGAAGGUCAUUUAUCAGAUGUGCUGUUGUAAAAAAAAUAAAUGUUUGAUGCUUAGA